UACGUAGGUGGCAAGCGUUGUCCGGAUUUACUGGGCGUAAAGAGCGCGCAGGCGGUCGUUCAAGUCGCGUGUGAAAGCCCCCGGCUCAACUGGGGAGGGUCAUUGGAAACUGGGAAACUUGAGUGCAGAAGAGGAAAGUGGAAUUCCAAGUGUAGCGGUGAAAUGCGUAGAGAUUUGGAGGAACACCAGUGGCGAAGGCGACUUUCUGGUCUGUAACUGACGCUGAGGCGCGAAAGCGUGGGGAGCAAACAGG
rnacentral:rRNA from 1 species